rnacentral:rRNA from 1 species
UACGAAGGGGGCUAGCGUUGCUCGGAAUCACUGGGCGUAAAGCGCACGUAGGCGGAUUGUUAAGUCAGGGGUGAAAUCCUGGAGCUCAACUCCAGAACUGCCUUUGAUACUGGAGACCUUGAGUCCGGGAGAGGUGAGUGGAAUUGCGAGUGUAGAGGUGAAAUUCGUAGACAUUCGCAAGAACACCAGUGGCGAAGGCGGCUCACUGGCCCGGAACUGACGCUGAGACGCGAAAGCGUGGGGAGCAAACAGG